GAUGAACGCUGGCGGCGUGCCUAAUACAUGCAAGUAGAACGCUGAAGGAAGGAGCUUGCUCUUUCCGGAUGAGUUGCGAACGGGUGAGUAACGCGUAGGUAACCUGCCUGGUAGCGGGGGAUAACUAUUGGAAACGAUAGCUAAUACCGCAUAACAGUAGAUGUUGCAUGAUAUCUACUUAAAAGGUGCAAUUGCACCACUACCAGAUGGACCUGCGUUGUAUUAGCUAGUUGGUGAGGUAACGGCUCACCAAGGCGACGAUACAUAGCCGACCUGAGAGGGGGUCAGCCCCACUGGGACUGGAACACGGGCCCGGCCUCUUCCGGGAGGAAGAAGUGGGGAAUCUCCGCCAUUGGCCGGAGUCUGGCCCAGCCACGGCGGGUGAAGGGAAGAAGUUUUUGGGACGGUAAAGUCUGUUUGUAGGGGAGAAAGAGUGGGGGGGGGGGAAGUUCACACUGGGAAGGUAACUGUCCAAGAAGGGACGGCUAACUACGUG
rnacentral:rRNA from 1 species